AUUGAACGCUGGCGGAAUGCUUUACACAUGCAAGUCGAACGGCAGCGCGGACUUCGGUCUGGUGGCGAGUGGCGAACGGGUGAGUAACAUAUCGGAACGUAUCCAAUAAUGGGGGAUAACGAGUCGAAAGAUUCGCUAAUACCGCAUACGCCCUACGGGGGAAAGCUGGGGACCUUCGGGCCUGGCGUUAAUAGAGCGGCCGAUAUCUGAUUAGCUAGUUGGUGAGGUAAAGGCUCACCAAGGCGACGAUCAGUAGCUGGUCUGAGAGGACGACCAGCCACACUGGAACGGAGACACGGUCCAGACUCCUACGGGAGGCAGCAGUGGGGAAUUUUGGACAAUGGGCGCAAGCCUGAUCCAGCCAUUCCGCGUGAGUGAAGAAGGCCUUCGGGUUGUAAAGCUCUUUCGCAAGGGAAGAAAACUUAGCCACUAACAUUGGUUGAGGUUGACGGUACCUUGAUAAGAAGCACCGGCUAACUACGUGCCAGCCGCCGCCGUAA
rnacentral:rRNA from 1 species